GACCACACAAAGAAGUAUAGAUCAGUGGACUACAUACUUUAGUGAUGCAAAAGUUGUCCCCAGUCGUUUAGAUGUGUGAAGGAUAUGUGCUUCAAGGAUAUCUCACAAUUACAAGUGCGCAAGUACGACCUUGACUUAGAUGAGUUUUGAUGGACUGGUAAUGGCCGUUGACCCACACCUUCCAUUUCACUUGUGGGGAGAUGACCAUCACCCCAUCUGACUUCAACCUGUGCUCCGGCUUGUGGUUUAGAGGGAUGUUUGUCAUGGGUUAUCCAAAAGGAUGGGACCCCUUGAAUAAUAUGAGCCACGCGAAAAUGCUCAUCGGAGAGUGGCCUAGCAUUGUCACAUCGUUAGUAAGUUGGUUCCACAAGCAUUGGGAAAAUCCGGAGGACCAAGUGACUGAUAGUCUCCUGCCUCUACAAGGAAUCAUUUGGCACAAAUGCUAGGGAACUCCCUCUUCAGCCAUAGCAGCAAUUCCAUCAGCCUAGACCAGCUAGGCUACUUAGAGAAGAUUGAGGUGAUGAAGAAGUACAAUUGCGGAGCAACCGGAUAUGCAUACCUCCUUAGGAGCAUGGAUGCCCUAGCUAUAGGCAAGAGGCACUGCUUCACAAGGCAUGAUAUGUCACUGAGGUAAGUUCUUGUAUUUGUUGUUCAUUUGCAUCUACUUGAAUUUGAUAUUUCUUUGUGUCUCUUAGACUAAGUUUUUUGUGCCUGCCUUGCGGUGCUGGUGCUUUAAGUAUCUGCAUCUUCGUGAGUUCAAGCUCAUGGAUGAUAGCCAGGACUUCUUCCCUCAUCCUGGAAGAUGGUUAGCUACCAAUUGUGAGCACUGCAAGCCCGUGCACUCAAUCUCCAAACUUAGGGAGCUAAUGAACUAGCUCCUAGAUAUGAUGUAAGUUUGUCCCCGUGGGCUUCUUUGCUAGAGGGCCGAGAUCUGGGGAAUGCCCCUCAUCUCAACAUUACGAGGGUGUUGUUCCAUGGGAGAUCAAGAUUUACCUGGUACUUAGGUGAGUGGGUGGCUCACUAGUGGGAGGAGGGCACUUAAUAUCUGGUGCUGCAUCUUCCUCCACACCACAUACUACAUCUAAAAACACUGACUUAGGGCCGCAUCACUGAUGGGAGGAUAGGUUAUGCCAUCGUGGACUUGCCGGACUCCUAAAACAAAUACCAGGAGUUCAUGAUCACAGAGUGUGUAUGCCUCUAUAUCACCCCAGAGGGUUGGAAGGACCAUCAUGAGAGGAUUACUUCUACUUCUGUUGCGGCGCCAUCCCAAGCCACCUCCACCACACUAGAUGCAAGGCUUGCGAGUCGAGUUAGAGCUCGGAGUGCUCCCAAGGGUGAAUGUGAUGCCGCAUGGGGUAGUCCUCCCAGGGUUCCCUGGUUGUGUUUUCUGGGAUAGGGAUGUCCAUGUUUACAUCCCCCUUCCCAGACUAUCGUUGACUGGGUGCCCACCCCAUAUGCUUAUAUCCUGCAACAAAUACAACAACCUUAGGUUGAUCAUAGAUGGGUAUAAAUAGUUGCUUGGGAAGGAGAUGGCAACCCACCAUUCUACGAAGAUUGAGUUAUGUGCUACAAGGUUGGACAUCAAGGACUAUUAGGCCAUGAUCGAAAAGCUACGUGGGAAAAUUGGUAAGGGCACAUCCACGGCAGCCACGGAGAGUUGUGCCACUAGUGAUGGGGACAAUGCAUCUCAAUCAAAGAGUGAGGAGGAGGACAAUGCCGAGACAAAUGCCAGGAGCGAGUGAAGGUCCAAGGCUUUAGAGGAAUUCAAGUAGUUUUAGCUUUUCUUUUUUCUUUUUGAUGAUGUAUACGACUAUUUGGUCAUCUCUUUUAUUUCUUUUGAAACUUUUGUAAUGCACGAA